rnacentral:rRNA from 1 species
AGCGAACGCUGGCGGCAGGCCUAACACAUGCAAGUCGAGCGGAUGACGGGAGCUUGCUCCUUGAUUCAGCGGCGGACGGGUGAGUAAUGCCUAGGAAUCUGCCUGGUAGUGGGGGAUAACGUUUCGAAAGGAACGCUAAUACCGCAUACGUCCUACGGGAGAAAGCAGGGGACCUUCGGGCCUUGCGCUAUCAGAUGAGCCUAGGUCGGAUUAGCUGGUUGGUGGGGUAAUGGCUCACCAAGGCGACGAUCCGUAACUGGUCUGAGAGGAUGAUCAGUAACACUGGAACUGAGACACGGUCCAGACUCCUACGGGAGGCAGCAGUGGGGAAUAUUGGACAAUGGGCGAAAGCCUGAUCCAGCCAUGCCGCGUGUGUGAAGAAGGUCUUCGGAUUGUAAAGCACUUUAAGUUGGGAGGAAGGGCAGUAAGUUAAUACCUUGCUGUUUUGACGUUACCGACAGAAUAAGCACCGGCUAACUCUGUGCCAGCAGCCGCAGUAAAAC